rnacentral:rRNA from 1 species
UACGGAGGGGACUAGCGUUGUUCGGAAUUACUGGGCGUAAAGCGCGCGUAGGCGGAUUUGCAAGUCGGGGGGCUCAACCCUCGGAUGCCGGUGGAUACUGUCGGGCUAGAAUCCGGAAGAGGCGAGUGGAAUUCCUGGUGUAGCGGUGAAAUGCGCAGAUAUCAGGAGGAACACCAAUGGCGAAGGCAGCUCGCUGGGACGGUAUUGACGCUGAGACGCGAAAGCGUGGGGAGCAAACAGG